UACAGAGGGUGCGAGCGUUGUCCGGAAUCACUGGGCGUAAAGGGCGCGUAGGUGGUUGGGGAAGCGUGUGGUGAAAGCCCGGGGCUCAACCCAGGGUCCGGGCCAUGGCGAACUGCCCGACUGGAGCACGGUAGAGGCCAAUGGAAUUCCGGGUGUAGCGGUGGAAUGCGUAGAGAUCCGGAAGAACACCGGUGGCGAAGGCGGUUGGCUGGGCCGUGGCUGACACUGAUGCGCGACAGCGUGGGGAGCAAACAGGG
rnacentral:rRNA from 1 species